UUUCAGGUUUUGAUUUCGAUGCAUCUUUACAUAGUAAUAAAGCGACGGAUGAGAUUCCAAGGGCCUGCUGUACGGAUAGUGUUUACAUGCAAUAAAAAUAUAAUGAAUUUUCGGUUCCAAAUGAGGAUCUGUGUUGGAAAGAUUUAAUUGAUAAUUUUUCAAGUAUACACCCCGCAUGUUGUGGUGUACGUAGUAUUUUCAGUUAAUUUUUCUGUUUAGAUGAACUGUUCACAUGGUUGGCUAUAUAAACAGUGCUAUAGGUGUCAACAUUGUAAAAUAGUACCAGAGAGAAUUGAGAACACUACUCACCGGCCAGUGCCAGAUACGACUUUGAUCGACGGACUCGGAGACAAUGGACGUCAUGUAUGCUGCUAACACUUCCAACAUGACUACCGAGCCAGGAAACAACCUGUCGGACUUACACUCAAAUCUAGAUACCCUCUUCUUGCUCGUCUGUGGAAUGAUUGUGUAUUUUAUUUCCGGAGUGUCCUAUUGGCUCUUUGGUUUCGCCUUCGCCUUUGGAGAUGGUGGGGAGGCAGACAAGUUUAUUGGACUGAAGUACUUCGCAUCCCACAGUCUUCCACACAGGCAGUACGCCAUGUUCUUCUUCCAGUUCACGUUCGCAGCCACUGCCUCCACCAUCGUGUCCGGGGCUGUUGCGGAGCGUUGCGAAUUUGUUGCUUACUUCGUUUAUAGCGUGUUUAUUACAGGAUUUGCAAACAUGGCAUUCGAAAGAGAGAUAACAGACAAAGGACCUUACGAAAAUCCGGAAUCUCGUCAUGUUGUCGUGAAUGGUUCUUCCGAGAAGGCUAAGCCCAUCAACAAGUCCGGUAAUGGCAUCACCAUCACUGUUAACAACACCAAACUGUGAUGUCAAUUCAAUCCGCGACUAUAAACUAACUCCAACCUGUUGUUGGUGGUUUAAAAACUUCAAAAAACUUGCUGCCUCCCCUUUAUGAUUACAUAUAUUAUAUUUUGUUCAUGAAAAUCCACAGUUCAUAUCCUGUAAGCAUAUUUGCAUUGCUUGUACAUACUUGUGUAUUUUUGUGUAUAAAAGAUAUGCUAUUUUUUUAUAUAUACAUUUUCAAUCCACGUAAAUUGUUGUUACAUGUAUAUUUCAUAUAAUGUUUUCAAUCGUGUGUGUCGCAAAUUAUACAUAAAAUGGCAUACAUGCAUGUUCAGGUUACAUAAUGAAAUUUCAAACUAGCGUGUUGUGCUCAUAAACAAAUGCAUAUAAUGGUGCUUAUAUAUCGAUGAUGAUCAUGAUGAUCAUGAUGAUAAAGAUGAAAUUUACAUACUGCGAGUUG
rnacentral:misc_RNA from 1 species